CCCCCUUCCCUUUUAACUUUUUACACGGUUUGAAUUGUCGGAUCUUUGAUGAUUCAUUAUUGUGCUUUGUUCGAAGAGAAAAGAAAACACUCAGCAAUCCUAGCAACACCGUUUGAAUUUUGCAACAUCAGAAUACGGACUGAAACUUGGGAGUUAUUCGGAGGAUUGCAAAUUUGCAAUAAAAAAGAAUCAUAGUUCCUUCGUUCGACGUAGCCUAACUACUCCAGUAGAGCAGAGAAUAUGGAUCAUUAAACACACGAUUAGCAAGCAAGAUGUGACCACAAUUACUCUUUAUCUUACAACGAGGCAAAUAUUUUGGAUCAAAUUGAGCGUGGCACCAUUAUCCGUUGAUUGCGACCACUUUGUCUUGUACGAAAGUACUGGCACGACAUGUGCAUAAUAAGUGAGUCAAUAGACUAAUGAUACCUUAAACACCAACUUUUAAGGUGAAACAUGCUAGUACGAUGGGAAAGGAAAAUCGACACUACGAUUCGAAUAAUUCGAUGCGAUGAGACGCGAAUCAGACCAUAAAAGAUAGUAGUACUAGUAAUAUAGUAGUAUCAAACUAUCAGUGACGCGCAGAUUGGGUGGCCUAUCUGUAAGCUUCAGAGGAACGAAGCGAACAGAGUGAAGCAACCAAGGAGCCAGAUCAGCAGCCCAGCGAGCAGACGAGGCCAGGGCAACC
rnacentral:lncRNA from 1 species